UACUCGACCACCUCUACGCUGC
rnacentral:siRNA from 1 species